ACUGCGUGGACUACCAGGGUAUCUAAUCCUGUUUGCUACCCACGCUUUCGUAUCUCAGCGUCAAAAAUGGCCUAGUUAGUCGCCUUCGCUUCUGGUAUUCUUUCCAAUAUCUACGAAUUUCACCUCUACACUGGAAAUUCUACUAACCCUUACCAAAUUCUAGAUCACUAGUUUUAAAUGCAGUUCCUGGGUUGAGCCCAGGGAUUUCACAUCUAACUUUUUGAUCCGCCUACAUACGCUUUACGCCCAGUGAUUCCGAACAACGCUAGCCCCCUUCGUAUUACCGCGGCUGCUGGCACGAAGUUAGCCGGAGCUUCUUCUUCAAUUAAUGUCAUUAUCAUCGUUGGCGAAAGAGCUUUACGACCCUAAGGCCUUCAUCACUCACGCGGCAUGGCUAGAUCAGGCUUGCGCCCAUUGUC
rnacentral:rRNA from 1 species